rnacentral:ncRNA from 1 species
AUAAAAAUUUUUAUGAUUUAAAAAAUUUAUUUUAAAUUUAUUUUACAUAUAAAUUUUAGUGUAAAAUUUUAAUUAUUUUAAUAAUAAUUAAUUUUAUUAGUAGUAAUUAAUAUUAAAAAUUUAAGAAAUUAAGAUUUAGUAAUAUAUAAAUUAAUAACAAAUUUUGUGCCAGCAGUUGCGGUUAAACAAAAAUUAAAUUAAAUUUUAUUAGUAAUUAAUUAAUAUUUAUUAUUAUUAAAUAAUUAAAACAUUAAAUUAUUAGGUGAAAUUUUAAUUUAAUUAAAAAUUAAUUAUAAAUUAUGAUUUAAUAAAUUUUAUUAUAAACUAGGAUUAGAUACCCUAUUAUUAAAAAUUUAAAUUAUAAUACUAAAAUAGUAGAUAAUUGUUUAUUGAAACUUAAUUAAUUUGGCGGUAUUUUAGUUCAUUUAGAGGAAUCUGUUUAUUAAUUGAUAAUCCACGAAUAAUUUUACUUAAUUAAUAAUUUUGUAUAUCGUUGUUAAAAAAAUAUUUUUGAAUAAUUUUAAUAUUUAAAAAUUUUAAAUAAAAAUUAAAUCAGAUCAAGAUGCAGAUUAUAAUUAAGAAUAUAAUGGAUUACAAUAAAUUUAUUUAUAUGGAUAUUUAAUUGAAAUAUUAAAUUAAAAGUGGAUUUAAAUGUAAUUUUAUUUAAUUUAAUAAAAUGAUUAAAAAUUAAAAUAUGUACAUAUUGCCCGUCGCUUUCAUUUAUAAAUUGAAAUAAGUCGUAACAAAGUAGAGGUACUGGAAAGUGUUUCUAGAAAGAA